rnacentral:rRNA from 1 species
GACGAACGCUGGCGGCGCGCCUAACACAUGCAAGUCGAACGAGCGGGAGAGAGCUUGCUUUCUCGAGCGAGCGGCGGAUGGGUGAGUAACACGUGGGGAACCUGCCCCUAAGUCUGGGAUACCAUUUGGAAACAGGUGCUAAUACCGGAUAAUAAAGCAGAUCGCAUGAUCAGCUUUUGAAAGGCGGCGUAAGCUGUCGCUAAGGGAUGGCCCCGCGGUGCAUUAGCUAGUUGGUGAGGUAACGGCCCACCAAGGCGACGAUCGGUAGCCGGACUGAGAGGUUGAACGGCCACAUUGGGACUGAGACACGGCCCAG